GACGAACUCUGGCGGCGUGCUUAACACAUGCAAGUCGAACGGUAAGGCUCCAGCUUGCUGGGGUACACGAGUGGCGAACGGGUGAGUAACACGUGGGUGACCUGCCCUGCACUUCGGGAUAAGCCUGGGAAACUGGGUCUAAUACCGGAUAGGACCGCACCGUGAGGGUGUGGUGGAAAGUUUUUUCGGUGUGGGAUGGGCCCGCGGCCUAUCAGCUUGUUGGUGGGGUAAUGGCCUACCAAGGCGGCGACGGGUAGCCGGCCUGAGAGGGUGGACGGCCACAUUGGGACUGAGACACGGCCCAGACUCCUACGGGAGGCAGCAGUGGGGAAUAUUGCACAAUGGGCGGAAGCCUGAUGCAGCGACGCCGCGUGGGGGAUGACGGCCUUCGGGUUGUAAACUCCUUUCACCAUCGACGAAGGGUUUCUGACGGUAGAUGGAGAAGAAGCACCGGCUAACUACGUGCCAGCAGCCGCGGUAAUACGUAGGGUGCGAGCGUUGUCCGGAAUUACUGGGCGUAAAGAGCUCGUAGGUGGUUUGUCGCGUCGUCUGUGAAAUUCCGGGGCUUAACUCCGGGCGUGCAGGCGAUACGGGCAUAACUUGAGUACUGUAGGGGAGACUGGAAUUCCUGGUGUAGCGGUGAAAUGCGCAGAUAUCAGGAGGAACACCGGUGGCGAAGGCGGGUCUCUGGGCAGUAACUGACGCUGAGGAGCGAAAGCAUGGGGAGCGAACAGGAUUAGAUACCCUGGUAGUCCAUGCCGUAAACGGUGGGCGCUAGGUGUGGGUUUCCUUCCACGGGAUCCGUGCCGUAGCUAACGCAUUAAGCGCCCCGCCUGGGGAGUACGGCCGCAAGGCUAAAACUCAAAGGAAUUGACGGGGGCCCGCACAAGCGGCGGAGCAUGUGGAUUAAUUCGAUGCAACGCGAAGAACCUUACCUGGGCUUGGCAUAUACAGGAUCGCGCCAGAGAUGGUGUUUCCCUUGUGGCUUGUAUACAGGUGGUGCAUGGUUGUCGUCAGCUCGUGUCGUGAGAUGUUGGGUUAAGUCCCGCAACGAGCGCAACCCUUGUCUUAUGUUGCCAGCACGUUGUGGUGGGGACUCGUAAGAAACUGCCGGGGUUAACUCGGAGGAAGGUGGGGAUGACGUCAAAUCAUCAUGCCCCUUAUGCCCAGGGCUUCACACAUGCUACAAUGGUCGGUACAGUGGGUUGCCAGUCCGUGAGGGCGAGCUAAUCCCGCAAAGCCGGUCUCAGUUCGGAUCGGGGUCUGCAACUCGACCCCGUGAAGUCGGAGUCGCUAGUAAUCGCAGAUCAGCAACGCUGCGGUGAAUACGUUCCCGGGCCU
rnacentral:rRNA from 1 species